GCUGCAGCAAAGUCAGAUUGUGCAGAAGAAUCAUCUGUUUCCUGUGGUCUUGUCCUGGUGCUCCUCUGAGACAAGGUCUUUACAGGGGAUCUGUAUCUGGGGCUCUAGUUGUCCUGGUCUCCGCUGUCUUUCAGGGCAGUAGAGGUCCUUUCUAGGUGCUGAUCCACCAUCUGGUCUGGAUACGUACUGGAUCCGGGUGACUGCAGUGAUCCUCUGAUCUGGACACAGACUGGAUCUGGUGGCCACGGUGACCUCGGAACAAGAGAGAAACAGACAAAUAU